CCCUACCCCGUUUUUUUUAGUUUUUUUUAUUUGUUGCUGGUGUCUGGAGCCAAACUCCACUUCAGCUGAGGAGCGGCUCCUGUCAUUGAUUUACUUACAUUCAGCUUCACAGCGCUGGAGGGAGAAGAGGCGGGAGAGGUGCCCCGAUGGGUUGCAUGGUCACGUCUGCCUACUCUGCUGCAGUGAUCAGGUAUUCAACCCAGAGACACACCCGACCCUCUGAUGCCACCUGAUACCACAACCAUGGGAUGUGAUGUAAACAUCCUGUAGGCAACUGGAGGAGGAUAAACAGCCUAAACCUGUUGAUAUGCACAAGUCUCCAGGCCGCUCAGAUCAGACAUGUGGGAUACAGGUCAGGCUCCGGGCUUUGAACCCGGCCCGUGUUUGGUGCUUAUCUGGGGCUUGAAACCUUGGAUGUGAGGAAUCAUACUGAAC